UACGUAGGGUGCGAGCGUUGUCCGGAAUUAUUGGGCGUAAAGGGCUCGUAGGCGGUCUGUCGCGUCGGGAGUGAAAACUCAGGGCUUAACCCUGAGCCUGCUUCCGAUACGGGCAGACUAGAGGUAUGCAGGGGAGAACGGAAUUCCUGGUGUAGCGGUGGAAUGCGCAGAUAUCAGGAGGAACACCGGUGGCGAAGGCGGUUCUCUGGGCAUUACCUGACGCUGAGGCACGAAGGCCAGGGGAGCAAACAGG
rnacentral:rRNA from 1 species